AGAACGAACGCUGGCGGCAGGCCUAACACAUGCAAGUCGAGCGCCCCGCAAGGGGAGCGGCGGACGGGUGAGUAACGCGUGGGAAUUUUUCCUGGAGUACGGAACAACCGAGGGAAACUUCGGCUAAUACCGUAUGAUGCCGAGAGGCCAAAGAUUUAUCGCUCUGGGGUGAGCCCGCGUCAGAUUAGGUAGUUGGUGGGGUAAUGGCCUACCAAGCCUGCGAUCUGUAGCUGGUCUGAGAGGACGAUCAGCCACACUGGGACUGAGACACGGCCCAGACUCCUACGGGAGCAGCAGUGGGAAUCUUGCGCAAUGGGCGAAAGCCUGACGCAGCCAUGCCGCGUGAGUGAAGAAGGUCUUAGGAUUGUAAAGCUCUUUCGCUCGUGACGAUGAUGAACGGUAACGAGAGAAGAACGCCCGACUAACUCGUGCCAGCAGCCGC
rnacentral:rRNA from 1 species